CAUGAAGUCGGAAUCGCUAGUAAUCGUGGAUCAGAAUGCCACGGUGAAUACGUUCCCGGGCCUUGUACACACCGCCCGUCACACCAUGGGAGUGGGUUGCAAAAGAAGUAGGUAGCUUAACCUUCGGGAGAGCGCUUACCACUUUGUGAUUCAUGACUGGGGUGAAGUCGUAACAAGGUAACCGUAGGGGAACCUGCGGUUGGAUCACCUCCUUACCUUAAAGAAGC
rnacentral:rRNA from 1 species